rnacentral:rRNA from 1 species
CCUCUGCUAAAGGAGGAGGAAGGAAUGGGGCAACGGUAGGUCAGCAUGCCCCGAAUUAUCUGGGCUACACGCGGGCUACAAUGGGUGGGACAAUGGGUAUCGGAACACCGAAAAGGUGAAGGCAAUCUCCUAAACCCAUCCGUAGUUCGGAUUGUGGGCUGCAACUCGCCCACAUGAAGCUGGAAUCUGUAGUAAUCGUGUCUCAAAAUGGCACGGUGAAUAUGUCCCUGCUCCUU